UACGUAGGGCGCAAGCGUUGUCCGGAUUUAUUGGGCGUAAAGAGCGUGUAGGCGGCCAUACAGGUCAGCUGUGAAAUUUCGAGGCUCAACCUCGAGACGCCACCUGAUACUGCUGUGGCUAGAGUCCGGUAGGGGAGCGUGGAAUUCCUGGUGUAGCGGUGAAAUGCGCAGAUAUCAGGAGGAACACCAGCGGCGAAGGCGGCGCUCUGGGCCGGUACUGACACUGAGGAGCGAAAGCGUGGGGAGCAAACAGG
rnacentral:rRNA from 1 species